GGGAAGUAGCUCAGCUUGGUAGAGCACUUGGUUUGGGACCAAGGGGUCGCAGGUUCGAAUCCUGUCUUCCCGA
rnacentral:tRNA from 4 species